GGGCUAGUAGUGUAGGAGUAUCACGCAAGAUUCCCAUUCUUGUAACCUGGGUUCGAGUUCUGGCUAGUUUA